GUUGGUUAAUUUUUGGAUCAAGGGUGAAUUUGGAGGGAUGUUUAGGUAAAGAACGAGUAGUUCAACCUUGGAAAAUGAGUUGUGUGUCGAUGUUAAGCGAUGCUAGAGGUAUAAGUGUGGAAAUACCUAGAGAGUUGUAGCCGUGUAAGCUAGAAUUGUUAGUUUUGGCGGGUAAAACCUAAGAGAAAUUAAAUUUCUCAAGUAGUUUGACGGGAUUAGACCAUGAGUGAGUAGAGGCUCGGUAUGAAUGGGCAUUUAAGUUAACGAUUUCGAUCGACCGAGAGGGACGAAUGAUCAAGUAGCACCUUGAGUUUAUGAUAUCAUAGUAGUUGAAGUGGAAAAUUUUUGAGUAAAACAAG
rnacentral:lncRNA from 1 species